UACGUAGGGGGCUAGCGUUGUCCGGAAUUACUGGGCGUAAAGGGCGCGUAGGCGGCCUGUUAAGUCGAACGUGAAAUCCCCGGGCUCAACCCGGGAACUGCGUCCGAUACUGGCAGGCUUGAAUCCGGGAGAGGGAUGCGGAAUUCCAGGUGUAGCGGUGAAAUGCGUAGAUAUCUGGAGGAACACCGGUGGCGAAGGCGGCAUCCUGGACCGGCAUUGACGCCGAGGCGCGAAAGCGUGGGGAGCAAACAGG
rnacentral:rRNA from 1 species